rnacentral:pre_miRNA from 1 species
AAAUGGAAAGCAGGACAAGUAACACAAGAAACAACCCUUCAUUAGUUGUCGGCUAUCUAUCUACUCCCCAUUUUGAGCAUUGGCGGAGGGUUGUUAUUUGUAUUGCUUGCCCUGUUUUCCAUUUC